AUUAGACGCUGGCGGCAUGCCUUACACAUGCAAGUCGAACGGUAGCGCGGGGCAACCUGGCGACGAGUGGCGAACGGGUGAGUAAAGCAUCGGAACGUGCCCUGGAAUGGGGGAUAACGUAGCGAAAGUUACGCUAAUACCGCAUAUUCUGUGAGCAGGAAAGCAGGGGAUCGCAAGACCUUGCGUUCUGGGAGCGGCCGAUGUCGGAUUAGCUAGUUGGUGGGGUAAAAGCCUACCAAGGCGACGAUCCGUAGCGGGUCUGAGAGGAUGAUCCGCCACACUGGGACUGAGACACGGCCCAGACUCCUACGGGAGGCAGCAGUGGGGAAUUUUGGACAAUGGGCGGAAGCCUGAUCCAGCCAUGCCGCGU
rnacentral:rRNA from 1 species